rnacentral:piRNA from 1 species
AUUAUGGACUAGAUAAAUUUAUG